UAGAUACCCUGGUAGUCCACGCCGUAAACGAUGAGUGCUAGGUGUUGGAGGGUUUCCGCCCUUCAGUGCUGCAGCUAACGCAUUAAGCACUCCGCCUGGGGAGUACGACCGCAAGGUUGAAACUCAAAGGAAUUGACGGGGGCCCGCACAAGCGGUGGAGCAUGUGGUUUAAUUCGAAGCAACGCGAAGAACCUUACCAGGUCUUGACAUCCUUUGACCACUCUAGAGAUAGAGCUUCCCCUUCGGGGGCAAAGUGACAGGUGGUGCAUGGUUGUCGUCAGCUCGUGUCGUGAGAUGUUGGGUUAAGUCCCGCAACGAGCGCAACCCUUAUUGUUAGUUGCCAUCAUUCAGUUGGGCACUCUAGCAAGACUGCCGGUGACAAACCGGAGGAAGGUGGGGAUGACGUCAAAUCAUCAUGCCCCUUAUGACCUGGGCUACACACGUGCUACAAUGGGAAGUACAACGAGUUGCGAAGUCGCGAGGCUAAGCUAAUCUCUUAAAGCUUCUCUCAGUUCGGAUUGCAGGCUGCAACUCGCCUGCAUGAAGCCGGAAUCGCUAGUAAUCGCGGAUCAGCACGCCGCGGUGAAUACGUUCCCGGGCCUUGUACACACCGCCCGUCACACCACGAGAGUUUAUAACACCCGAAGUCGGUGAGGUAACCUUUUUGGAGCCAGCGGCCUAAGGUGGGAUAGAUGAUUGGGGUGAAGUCGUAAAAGG
rnacentral:rRNA from 1 species